CAGCCGCCACGGUAAAACGAAGGGUGCAAGCGUUACUCGGAAUUACUGGGCGUAAAGCGUGCGUAGGUGGUGGUUUAAGUCCGUUGUGAAAGCCCUGGGCUCAACCUGGGAAUUGCAGUGGAUACUGGGUCACUAGAGUGUGGUAGAGGAUAGUGGAAUUUCCGGUGUAGCAGUGAAAUGCGUAGAGAUCGGAAGGAACAUCUGUGGCGAAGGCGACUAUCUGGGCCAACACUGACACUGAGGCACGAAGGCGUGGGGAGCAAACAGGAUUAGAUACCCCUGUAGUCCCUGUCUCUUAUAC
rnacentral:rRNA from 1 species